ensembl:snRNA U6 U6 spliceosomal RNA
GUGCUCUCUUCAGCAGCACGUAUACUAAAUUCGGAACGAUACAGAGAAGAUUAGCGUGGCCCCUGCGCAAGGAUGACAUGCAAAUUCAUGAAGCGUUCCAUAUUUUU